UUACCAAAAAAGGGACAAAACCCUAAGACUCUCAAAUGCUUCAGAAAGGGCUUUGAAAAAUUAAAAAAACUGCGCUAUUCUCUGUGGAGUCAUCUUAAUCUUACCACCGCUUUCUUUUAUCUUCGUUUGUAACUUUUUUGUUCCUCUCUCUCUUGUGCUCUCUCUGACGUAUAUAAAGGUAGGGGAACAUGGUGAUUGCAGCGGCGACACAGCCACACCAACUCAAGCUUAAAUGACAGGUCUUUGCAGUUGCAUUCCAAUUGUAUGAUCUAAGAAAAACUGGUUAUAUUGAGAGAGAAGAGGUAGGUGUUGCAACCAUACUUAUACUGGUUAACUCUAUGCUCCCCUUGUCAGUUGUCACGAGCAUUAAGUCUCAUCCAAACAAAAAGGAAAGAAAAGGAACUCUAAUAUUGCUCUGAGGUGAAACAGUGCGUGUGGCGGAGUUAAUAGUGUAUUCACUGCUUGGUUUUACUUGCAGCUGAAAGAGAUGGUUUUAGCACUGCUGCAUGAAUCAUAUCUGAUUCUUUCAGAUGAUAUAAUUGAAAUGAUUGUAGAUAAGUAAAGCAGAUAAAAAGGGUGACAGGAAGAUAGAUCGAGAAGAGUGGAAGGAGUUUGCUUCAAAGAAUCCUUCUCUUCUAAAGAAUAUGACCCUUCCCUAUCUGAAGUCCAUUCCUGGUUUCCAAACCUCUCUAUUUGGCUCUCUGAGAGAUCAAGUAUGAUAUUAUACAUGCUUUGGCAAAGAAAAUCCGGUCAUGCUUUAGUGGAAAUAAUCAAGCAUUUCAGUGCAAUUCUUCAGGGGGAGUUCACGAUAGGAAGCGACAAAUUUAGCAUUCAGAGUACUUACUCUUAUGGGUCAUACAGUCUGAUGAUCCAUAAUUAGCGAGUGGAAGAUUUCAAUAAGAUGAAAUGUUGCAGAAAUUAUUUGAAGACUUAUUCGUUAGGAUUUGUUAUAUAAUGACGUUAGCCAUUUGCUUCAAACAAUAUAAGUUUAUUUUUUAAGUUACUAUGAUAUUAAUAUUUGGAUUACUA